rnacentral:rRNA from 1 species
AACGAACGCUGGCGGCAUGCCUAACACAUGCAAGUCGAACGAGACCUUCGGGACUAGUGGUGCACGGGUGCGUAACGCGUGGGAACCUGCCCUUAGGGUCGGAAUAACUCCCCGAAAGGGGUGCUAAUACCGGAUAAUGUCUUCGGACCAAAGAUUUAUCGCCUUUGGAUGGGCCCGCGUUGGAUUAGCUAGUUGGUAUGGUAAAAGCAUACCAAGGCGCCGAUCCAUAGCUGGUCUGAGAGGAUGAUCAGCCACACUGAGACUGAGACACGGCCCAGACUCCUACGGGAGGCAGCAGUGGGGAAUAUUGGACAAUGGGCGAAAGCCUGAUCCAGCAAUGACGCGUGAGUGAUGAAGGCCUUAGGGUUGUAAAGCUCUUUUAACCGGGAUGAUAAUGACAGUACCGGGAGAAUAAGCUCCGGCUAACUCCGUG